rnacentral:rRNA from 1 species
UACGUAGGGUGCAAGCGUUAAUCGGAAUUACUGGGCGUAAAGCGUGCGCAGGCGGUUGGGGAAGACAGAUGUGAAAUCCCCGGGCUCAACCUGGGAACUGCAUUUGUGACUGCACGGCUGGAGUGCGGCAGAGGGGGAUGGAAUUCCGCGUGUAGCAGUGAAAUGCGUAGAUAUGCGGAGGAACACCGAUGGCGAAGGCAAUCCCCUGGGCCUGCACUGACGCUCAUGCACGAAAGCGUGGGGAGCAAACAGG